rfam:Triticum aestivum genome assembly, contig: Triticum_aestivum_CS42_TGACv1_scaffold_220688_3B
GUUGUACUCCCUCCGUCCGAAAAUACUUGUCCCGACCUUGUCCCUCAAAUGGAUGUAUUUACCACUAACUUGAUGUUAGAUAGAUCCAUUUGGGGGACAAAUUUUUUCGGACGGGGGGAGUAAUAG